rnacentral:lncRNA from 1 species
GCUUUUCAACCUCUUUGUCUAGUCUAAAGUUCUGGUAUUUCCUGGUAGUCUUAUAGCUAGUUUUUAUCCUGCUUAACCAGGUCCUCUUGGCAGUUUUUAUCCUGCUUAACCAGGUCCUCUUGGCACUGCCUGCUUUAGAUAGAAGUAAUUAUCAUCACCAUGGAAAAUAAGUACUGCAGAAACACAGAUACGAAAAAUAAGAUGGGCACUUACCGAGGUCUCAUAGAUUGAAAGAAAAAAGUUAAAUUAAAAAAAAACAUUAUAAGGAUUUUGUAAGACUUGAGAGGAAGUCCAGAUAAAAAGUGUUGUGUUGGCAGACGGACACACCAGGCAGACACAGAACUGAAGAAUAACGUUGCUUUUAUUUGAAGAGUAACAGGUUAUCGUGGCUGCCCAGCUGGGCUGGCAGCCAGCUGGCUGGAGCAGCUGAUGCCGUUUGACAGCUCCUUUUAUAGUCUGCUGUCAAACGGCACCAACCAAUGGGAACCGUCGGUGCUCCCGCUCAGAAUGCGGACCAGAUUGAAGACUUAGCUAGUCAGGGACACUACACCCCUUUCCCCUAGCUAAGUGCAUGCGCGGCCCUGCCUCCUGGGGAUCCAUGGUACAGAAGAAGAAGUUGAACUAGUAGCUGCUUUGCGCACCUCCCCCAUCUUGGCUUCCAGGAACAGAAACCUGACCUGUCGCAAGGUAGGAGCACUCGGCCUGGGAAGGAGACCCUGAGAAGCUUGGUGCAUGGUCUGCAGGUACAAGGGUCCACUUUUUGGAUUGAUGAACACCAUCCUACACAAUCAAAUGCAGCAUCUGGAUCCAAUUGGGCAGUUUUCAUUUCUGCUUUAGAGUUCAUGCUCCAUAAUACAAAUGAAAACUGGAAGGAAUAUUCUUUGGCAAAUCCAUGGCAUGAAGAAGUCUUCUUGCUUCCAAGUUGGAUAACUAGAGGAAUAUCUAUGGAAUUGCCUACAGUGUAUUCUUAAAACUCUGCCUGAGAUGAUGGAAAAUCAUUGCCGAUCAAGAUAGAAUUCAUGGAAUUGAAUCUAAAUAAAAAAGUAAUCAACCCCA